rnacentral:lncRNA from 1 species
GCACAUAUUUAUUUUCUUUAGCAAAGUGAAUCCCAUUUUUGAAGAGAAAGGAUGGGACAUGGUGCAGAGGGAUAUGAUUUCAUUCAGUUUUUAAUUUCUUUCAAAAAGAAAAAAAAAUGUUGAUUUCAUUUAGGAGAAGUUUCACGGUAAUGUAGUUCAUUUUGGUUUCUUUUAGAAAACAAGUUUCUUGAUUAUUGGGUGGCAUGCACAUGGU